rnacentral:tRNA from 1 species
GUCAGGAUGCCGGAGUGGACAAUCGGAUCAGUCUGUAAAACUGACGCCUUAACGGGCUACCCAGGUUCGAAUCCUGGUCCUGACA